UGGGGAAUAUUGCACAAUGGGGGAAACCCUGAUGCAGCGACGCCGCGUAAAUGAAGAAGGUAUUCGUAUCGUAAAGUUCUGUCCUAUGGGAAGAUAAUGACAGUACCAUAGAAGAAAGCUCCGGCUAAAUACGUGCCAGCAGCCGCGGUAAUACGUAUGGAGCGAGCGUUGUCCGGAAUUAUUGGGCGUAAAGGGUACGCAGGCGGUUUAAUAAGUCGAAUGUUAAAGAUCGGGGCUCAACCCCGUAAAGCAUUGGAAACUGAUAAACUUGAGUAGUGGAGAGGAAAGUGGAAUUCCUAGUGUAGUGGUGAAAUACGUAGAUAUUAGGAGGAGUACCAGUAGCGAAGGCGACUUUCUGGACACAAACUGACGCUGAGGUACGAAAGCGUGGGGAGCAAACAGG
rnacentral:rRNA from 1 species